AGAACGAACGCUGGCGGCAUGCCUAAUACAUGCAAGUCGAACGAACUCUUCGGAGUUAGUGGCGCACGGGUGCGUAACGCGUGGGAAUCUGCCCUUGGGUUCGGAAUAACAGUUGGAAACGACUGCUAAUACCGGAUGAUGACGAAAGUCCAAAGAUUUAUCGCCCAGGGAUGAGCCCGCGUAGGAUUAGCUAGUUGGUGAGGUAAAGGCUCA
rnacentral:rRNA from 1 species